GGAGCUGUGCCUGAAGUAAAGGGCCACUUUGAUAGAGUGUAUCAUAAGGGUUAAAAUCCCUUCAACUCCU
rnacentral:tRNA from 1 species